GGAAUAUAAAAUGCCCCCUUAGGGGCGCCUACGUGGCUGAGUCGGUUAGGCAUCCGACUUCCGCUCAGGUUAUGAUCUCGCGGUCCGUGAGUUCGAGCCCCGCGUCGGGCUCUGUG